GAAAUGCGAUAAGUAGUGUGAAUUGCAGAAUUCAGUGAAUCAUCGAAUCUUUCAACGCACAUUGCGCCCCUUGGUAUUCCAUGGGGCAUGCCUGUUCGAGCGUCAUUUGUACCCUCAAGCUCUGCUUGGUGUUGGGUGUUUGUCCCCGUCUCCGCGCGUGGACUCGCCCCAAAGUGAUUGGCAGCCGGCGUACUGGUCCCGGAGCGCAGCACAUGUCGCGCAAACGAGUGCCUUGGUACGGCGGCGUCCAUAAGCCCCUCUCUCACGCUCUUGACCUCGGAUCAGGUAGGGAUACCCGCUGAACUUAAGC
rnacentral:misc_RNA from 1 species